UACGUAGGGUGCAAGCGUUGUCCGGAGUUAUUGGGCGUAAAGAGCUCGUAGGCGGUUUGUCGCGUCUGCUGUGAAAACCCGAGGCUCAACCUCGGGCCUGCAGUGGGUACGGGCAGACUAGAGUGCGGUAGGGGAGAUUGGAAUUCCUGGUGUAGCGGUGGAAUGCGCAGAUAUCGGGAAGAACACCCGUGGCUAAGGCGGUUCUCUAGUACGGUACUGACGCUGAGACGCGAAAGCGUGGGGAGCGAACAGG
rnacentral:rRNA from 1 species